GAGUUUGAUCAUGGCUCAGAUUGAACGCUGGCGGCAGGCCUAACACGUGCAAGUCGGGCGGUAGAGAGAAGCUUGCUUCUCUUGAGAGCGGCGGACGGGUGAGUAAUACCUAGGAAUCUGCCUGGUAGUGGGGGAUAACGCUCGGAAACGGACGCUAAUACCGCAUACGUCCUACGGGAGAAAGCAGGGGACCUUCGGGCCUUGCGCUAUCAGAUGAGCCUAGGUCGGAUUAGCUAGUUGGUGAGGUAAUGGCUCACCAAGGCGACGAUCCGUAACUGGUCUGAGAGGAUGAUCAGUCACACUGGAACUGAGACACGGUCCAGACUCCUACGGGAGGCAGCAGUGGGGAAUAUUGGACAAUGGGCGAAAGCCUGAUCCAGCCAUGCCGCGUGUGUGAAGAAGGUCUUCGGAUUGUAAAGCACUUUAAGUUGGGAGAAGGGCAGUAAUUAAUACUUUGCUGUUUGACGUUACCGACAGAAUAAGCACGGCUAACUCUGUGCCAGCCGCCGCCGU
rnacentral:rRNA from 1 species